AUUAUAUAAAGGAACCAAACCAUCGUAAGCAGUUAACAUUUUCGUUUGAGUAUGUUAAGCUUUCAUAUAUACGCACCCGGGUUCGAACCGCUGGCCAGGCAAUUGGGGUAUCUAAUUCCCCAUAGUACCAAAUGGUCCGCCUCGCGCCGAGGGGUUGGCCCCUGGGGGUGGAAGUCCCUCCAGAUUAAACAAAAAAAAAAAAAAAAAGCUUUCAUAUUUUCUUAAUCAAUUGAAUCUCACUAUUUUAUGUUAUUUUGUAGAUCAUAUACUCUUUUUCUAUAUCGUUUCAGUAACAACGUUUUUCGCUUUUAAAUCUGAUCAUAUACCACUCCUAUAUCAUUUUAAUAACUCUAGCAUUUUCGUUCCUAAAUCUGAUCAUAUACCUCUUCUUUUAUAUCGUUUCCAUAAGACUAAUAUUUUCUGCAAUGAAUCCGGUAAAUAAUUGUGGUUUGAUUUAAUGUUCAAAGGUUUUGUGGUUUAAAUACUUAACUUAUUUGUGUAAAUACAUGUAUAUUUGGAGAUUGAUACUAAUACUUGAGUGUGAGUUUCCAGUAAGUUACAUAUUGUUUAGCUCACAGAUUUUGGACAAUGUUUUGUAGGAUGCGUUCACAAUCCUUUUUUUGGUAAAAGUGUAUUCACAAUCUUUUUUCUCUUUUAUACUUUUCUUCUUAUCUUUUUGUUUUUCAGCAUACUUAUAUGGUAAAUCUCUAUAAAUUUAAUUUAUACGGUUUUGUUAUGCUUAUGAUCCAUUUUUUUUUCUUUUUUCUAUUUGUUUUCUUAGAUUUUAGGCGGAGACGAUGGUUUAGACGCUGUAACGAGGAAAAUCUAAUGGGACUGAUUAACGCUCUGGACGCUGAUCUUUGUUCUUAAUUGUUACGAGGAGCCUGGUGAAGGUGUCCAUGAUCAGCAAGUCUCUUCUUUCUUUGUUCGUGUUCAUUAUCUCAAGAACGCAAAAUUGAUUGUUGGUUAAAUUAUCUUAUAUAUUAAGCUAAUUUUGUUUCCUCUGUUUCUCCAGAUCAAUGAAAUUUUUUUUUAGUUCUUCUUGCCCUUAAGAAGAAAAAGUGGGAUGAUGAUAUUGGCUGUUUUAUGGAGCUGCAAACAGGUUGAAGACAGGCGAUGCUGAUUUGUAGAAGAUGACCGGAAACCUUCGCCGUUCACCGGUGGCACACAAUUCGAGAAGCUGUUUCAUCUUCUAUUUUAUGCAGCCACCGUGUAGUCUUUUUUUGUAACAGCAACACGUUUUCAUUUUUGAUGUAUGAUAAACUCACGUGUUUAGAGUUUCUUGGCCAUUAUCAUUAAAUUCUCUGUAUUAAGUAUUUGGACUUUAAAUUAAUAAUAUUGGG